CUGAACUAUAGAUAUACUUUGUAUCAAAAAUUCAGAUGUAAGUUCAAUCUUAAAAGAAUUUACACAGAAAUAACAUACAGUAUUUUUAUGUUCAUGUGCGACAAAAUUCAAGUGAUUUGUGUCUCUUACAAUAUAUACGCACAUGUGUUUUCUAUUUUUAUAUGUUUUUUAAAAUGGUUUUUGCAUCUAAAAAAGAAUCGAAGUUUCAUAUAACUAUCCAACUUUCGCUCAAGCUUGGCAACCGCCUCUAGGUGUUGUUGCAAAAGUCUAAUGUGAUGUUUCAUGCCGUUGGGAAGAAAUGGCCAAACCCAAUAUUCAUGUGCGACAAAUUCAAGUGAUACGUGUCUCUUACAAUAUAUAUGCACAUGCUUUUUUCUAUUUUUAUAUGUUUUUUUAAAAUGGUUUUUGCAUCUCAAAAAGAGUCGAAGUUCCAUAUAACUAUCCAAAUGGCCAAACCCGUUCAUUUCCCCUCUUCAUACCCAAAAAUAUUUUGUCUACCCGCGCCCCCCCCCCCCCCCCCCCCCCCCACAGUAUCCACACCCGGCCUUUGGACGGUAACAAGAUGGAUGGUAACAAGUUGGUUGUUUUUUUAGAAGUCACCGUGCGUGGAUGCUAGACGGAAAAAGCUCACAUUACCUUCUUAAUUUUUAAUUUUUACGAAAGUCUAUUUUUUCUAUUUAUACUAGGUAAACUACCUCCUUAAACUUUUAAAACCAUUCAGUUUACUUGAUUGGUUAUAGGCGG
rnacentral:lncRNA from 1 species